rnacentral:lncRNA from 1 species
CCAGCCGGGCCGCGCGGCAGGACGGCCGCACCGGCUAAUGAGCUCAUGGCCAUCAUGGUCGCCAUUGAUCAACUGCGGACGGAAGGUGCACGAAAGGGCAGAAAGAAGCUACAGAUGCUGCAACAGGCAAAGAUGAUUGCUAUCGUUGUCGUUGGACGGAAGGUGUUUGCUGAUGUAUUGUUCAGAGCGAGGGGGCACACUUUAUAGGCCGAGCUCUACGCAACCCAGCCCGUGACGAGCUGGGCGCGGUGGCCGCGACGGUGCCCACGUCGCGAGCUGCUCCCGGCCGUGAAAUGAAUAGCCUCUACGUGGAGCAAAGCAGCGACUNNNNNNNNNNCGAGGUGCUCGCCUUGGGUUUGUUUGGCGGUGGUGCGCUCGGGCCCUCGGUCUGUGCCCUGACGACGAGGGCGCGUCGGCCCAGCGCUGGCAGAGACCGGGCGCCGAAGCUGCUGGCCGAGCUGCGCGGCACGACGGCCGCACCGGCGAAGGAGCUCAUGGACAUCAUGGUCGCCAUUGAUCAGCUGCGGACGGAAGGUGCACGUACGAGAGGACAGAAACAAGCCACAGAUGCUGCAACCGGCAAAGAUGAUUGCUAGUACACUGCUGCUUGUUGUUGUCUCGUUCCUGAUGUGUUUGCUGAUGUAUUAUUUCGAGAGAGUGGACACAAAUUUAUAGGCCGUGCUCCGCGAGGGCCAACCCGUGNNNNNNNNNNAAGCCGAGCCGCGCAGCACGACGGCCGCACCGGGGAAGGAGCUCAUGGACAUGAUGGACGCCAUUGAUCAGCUGCGGACGGAAGGUGCACGAGUGGACAGAAACAAGCCACAGAUGCUGCAACAGGCAAAGAUGAUUGAUAGUUGGAGGAAGGUGUUUGCUGAUGUAUACUUCCUCCGUUCCUAAAUAUAAGUCUUUUAAGCGAUUUCACUAAGAGUUACAUACGGAGAAAUCUACACUGUAAACAAAAUGAGUGAAUCUACACUGUAAAAUAAUAUGUUAGUCUACUAGUGGAAUCUCGAUAAAAAAUUAUAUUUAGGAACGGAGGAAGUAGUUCGGAGCGAGUGGGCACACUUUAUAGGCCGUGCUCCACGCAAGCCAGCCCGUGACGAGCUGCCUGCGGUGGCCGCGGCGGUGCCCACGUCGCGAGCUCCUCCCGGCCGUGAAAUGAAUAGCCUCUACGUGGAGCAAAGCAGCGACUAGGCGGACGUGGAGGCCAACGCGCGGAGAGCUUCAGGAAUCAGGAAACGCCAAACAGACAGAAAAGUUGCGAAACAUUCGAGGAGUCCUGUCCAGCACCCACCCACGGACCAGAAGCGCAGCACCGUGUGAAAUUCGGGCUUUGUUUCUAGCGCAAUAUAAUGGAAAGAUCUCAAGAGCCAACAGCCGCGCUAAACUAGCACCGCGUCAUAAAAUAGCUAUCGCGCGCGCAACGCGGCGUGUAGCUCCAGCGGGUGCGCAAAAACGGCGCGCGUGGCAUAUGCAGUUCAGCGCGCCGGCCGAAACGCAAUCGCGCGCCGCUUAUUUGCUGCGCCAGCUCCCGCGCGCUGGACUCUCCCGCGCUCGCUCCUUCACUCUCGCGCCUCGCUCCUCCACUCUCUCGUGCUCGCUCUCCACUUCCAUCCCCAUCCGACCGCGCCGCCGCCGCAGCUCGCGCCCCCGGCAACCGUUCAGGCGCUUCCCCGGCCUAUCCCCACGCCGCCGUCGCCGCCCGCGCCCCCCGGCGACCGUUCAGGCGCUUCCCCGGCCUAUCCCCGCGCCGCCGUCGNNNNNNNNNNGGAGGUGCUCGCCUUGGGUUUGUUUGGCGGUGGUGCGUUCGGGCCCUCGGUCUGUGCCCUGACGACGAGGGUACGUCGGCCCAGCGCUGGCAGAGACCUGGCCGAGCCGCGCGGCAAGACGGCCGCACCGGCGAAGGAGCUCAUGGCCAUCAUGGUCGCCAUUAAUCAACUGCGGAUGGAAGGUGCACGAAAGAGCAGAAAAAAGCUACAGAUGCUGCAACAGGGUAAAGAUGAUUGCUACUACAGUGCUGCUAGUUGUUGGACGGAAGGUGUU